rnacentral:rRNA from 1 species
GGGGAAUUUUCCACAAUGGGCGAAAGCCUGAUGGAGCAACGCCGCGUGUGUGAUGAAGGUCUUCGGAUCGUAAAGCACUUUCGACCGGGACGAAAAACCUUUGGCUAACAUCCAGGGGCCUGACGGUACCGGGAGAAGAAGCACCGGCUAACUCUGUGCCAGCAGCCGCGGUAAUACAGAGGGUGCAAGCGUUGUUCGGAAUUAUUGGGCGUAAAGCGCGUGUAGGCGGCUUUGCAAGUCAGAUGUGAAAGCCCUCGGCUUAACCGAGGAAGUGCGUCUGAAACUGCAGAGCUUGAGUCUCGGAGAGGAUGGCGGAAUUCCGCAAGUAGAGGUGAAAUUCGUAGAUAUGCGGAGGAACACCGGUGGCGAAGGCGGCCAUCUGGACGAGAACUGACGCUGAGACGCGAAAGCGUGGGGAGCAAAC